AACGAAGCUGUCUAAAGCGUGCAGGAAACUGUGCGCUGCCGAAAACCAGAGCCAACUCUACUAUCGACCACGUAAAAAGAGAUCCCGAAAGUGUGUGGAGUAACUUCUAUAGGUGAGGUUCAUGUGAAAAAAGUGCGAUGACUUGGAUCAAACUAUUGCUUCUAUUUUGCGUGUACUGUCAAGGCUUAUCUUAUGAUCCCAUCGCACAAAACAGAGCCAAGCGUGACGUGUUCCCUAUGUCGAAGCAACGGGCAGACCAGGCUGACGUACGAUGUGGGCCUGAACUCAAGGACAACGACAAAUGCGAGAUGGUAGGGUGGUGUCCUGGAGGCCGUGGCAGGUGCUGUCGGAACGAGUGCAUCUGCAAUGUACUACUAAGCCCAUGCGAAUCGUCCGCGAUGAGUGGGCCGGCGCCUGGGCACGAAGGUGAAUGCGCGCUUGAGUGCAUGAAGAAAUGCCACAAAACGUGCCGGAGCGAAAAUAAAACGGAUGCGGAAUGCACAGCGCAAUGCGCAUCCGGAUGUUACAGUCAGUGUAGUGGCCGAUGAACGCAGCAGCGAGAAAAAAUAACCUGGUCAUCGACUUUUCGUCCAAUAAAGAUUUGCGUCGGAGCGACA